rnacentral:tRNA from 1 species
AGGGGUGUGGCUGAGUGGUAGAGCAUCUGCUUGUCAUAGAGAAGACCACAGGCUCAAUCCCUGGCAUCCGCA